rnacentral:rRNA from 1 species
UACGUAGGUGGCAAGCGUUGUCCGGAUUUACUGGGCGUAAAGAGCGCGCAGGCGGUCGUUCAAGUCGCGUGUGAAAGCCCCCGGCUCAACUGGGGAGGGUCACUCGAUACUGAUCGACUUGAAGGCGGGAGAGGGAAGCGGAAUUCCCGGUGUAGUGGUGGAAUGCGUAGAUAUCGGGAGGAACACCAGUGGCGAAGGCGGUUGCCUGGAGCUUUGCUGACGCUGAGGCGCGAAAGCGUGGGGAGCGAUCCGG